rnacentral:rRNA from 1 species
CUUUGCUUCUCGUUGCUGCUUGGGUACUACGAGCAUGUGCUUAAAACUCAAAGAACUUGGCGGCUUGUUAACUACCUAGGGGAAUAUGUGCCUUAAUCCGAUAGUCCUCGACAUAUUUUACUGGGCCUUGAAAAAACAGUUGGUGUAUUGCCGUUGUCAGCUUGUUGUUGAGCAGAGAGAAACAGGCUUAAAGGAUUCGUCUGGGAGCAGAUGGAUUCCGUGAAUUCAGGUCGUAAUACUGCCUAUGGCUCUAGGGAGUGGGUGUUACAAUUUUUAAUUAAAAUACGGAUCUUUUUAUGAAAAAAAAGUGAAGGUGAACUUAGGAGUAAGGGAAGAUUAGCAUGCUCCCCUGAAC